GACGAACGCUGGCGGCGUGCUUAACACAUGCAAGUCGAACGGUAAGGCCCUUCGGGGUACACGAGUGGCGAACGGGUGAGUAACACGUGGGUGAUCUGCCCUGCACUUUGGGAUAAGCCUGGGAAACUGGGUCUAAUACCGAAUACACCCUGCUGGUCGCAUGGCCUGGUGGGGGAAAGCUUUUGCGGUGUGGGAUGGGCCCGCGGCCUAUCAGCUUGUUGGUGGGGUGAUGGCCUACCAAGGCGACGACGGGUAGCCGGCCUGAGAGGGUGUCCGGCCACACUGGGACUGAGAUACGGCCCAGACUCCUACGGGAGGCAGCAGUGGGGAAUAUUGCACAAUGGGCGCAAGCCUGAUGCAGCGACGCCGCGUGAGGGAUGACGGCCUCGGUUGUAACGUACUU
rnacentral:rRNA from 1 species